GAAAAAUGUCCCAAAGACCCACAAGAUGAGCCCAGAUGCCUUCAUACAGAUAGCGCUACAGCUGGCCUACUACAGGAUGUACCAGCGCUGCUGUGCCACAUAUGAAAGUGCCUCCCUGCGUAUGUUCAGACUGGGCCGUACAGACACAAUCCGAUCGGCUUCAAGUGCCUCAGCUGUAUUUGUCAAGGCCUUUGAUGACCCCAGCAAACAGAACACAGAAGGUCGAUCUCAUGGAGAAAGCUGUAAAAGCACACAGGGCGUACACUAACAUGG